AUUGAACGCUGGCGGCAGGCUUAACACAUGCAAGUCGAGCGGGGGAGGUUACUUCGGUAACUGACCUAGCGGCGGACGGGUGAGUAAUGCUUAGGAAUCUGCCUAUUAGUGGGGGACAACAUUCCGAAAGGAAUGCUAAUACCGCAUACGCCCUACGGGGGAAAGCAGGGGAUCUUCGGACCUUGCGCUAAUAGAUGCGCCUAAGUCGGAUUAGCUAGUUGGUGGGGUAAAGGCCUACCAAGGCGACGAGCUGUAGCGGGUCUGAGAGGAUGAUCCGCCACACUGGGACUGAGACACGGCCCAGACUCCUACGGGAGGCAGCAGUGGGGAAUAUUGGACAAUGGGGGGAACCCUGAUCCAGCCAUGCCGCGUGUGUGAAGAAGGCCUUUUGGUUGUAAAGCACUUUAAGCGAGGAGGAGGCUCCUUUAGUUAAUACCUAAAGAGAGUGGACGUUACUCGCAGAAUAAGCACCGGCUAACUCUGUGCCAGCAGCCGCGGUAAAAC
rnacentral:rRNA from 1 species